rnacentral:rRNA from 1 species
UGGGGAAUCUUGGACAAUGGGCGCAAGCCUGAUCCAGCCAUGCCGCGUGAGUGAAGAAGGCCUUAGGGUUGUAAAACUCUUUCGCCGGAGAAGAUAAUGACGGUAUCCGGAGAAGAAGCACCGGCUAACUACGUGCCAGCAGCCGCGGUAAUACGUAGGGUGCGAGCGUUAAUCGGAAUUACUGGGCAUAAAGCGUGCGCAGGCGGCGACAUAAGACAGAUGUGAAAUCCCCGGGCUCAACCUGGGAACUGCGUUUGUGACUGUGUUGCUAGAGUGUAGCAGAGGGGGGUGGAAUUCCACGUGUAGCAGUGAAAUGCGUAGAGAUGUGGAGGAACACCGAUGGCGAAGGCAGCCCCCUGGGUUAACACUGACGCUCAUGCACGAAAGCGUGGGGAGCAAACAGGAUUAGAUACCCAAGUAGUCCCUGAGCGGGCUGGCAAGGCGCAU